CUCCCGAUGGUGUAGCUGGUGAUCACGUUCGACUGUAAUGGCUACAUUGUUAUCGAAAAGUCGCCGAUUCGACUUCGGCUCGGGAGA
rnacentral:tRNA from 1 species